rnacentral:rRNA from 1 species
GAUGAACGCUGGCGGCGUGCCUAAUACAUGCAAGUCGAGCGAACAGACGCGGAUCUUGCUCCUCUGUCGUUAGCGGCGCACGGGAGAGUCACACGUGUAUACCCUCCCUAUCAUACUGAUAUCACCUCGGGACACCGGCGCUAAUACCAGAUAAUCUCUUGCACCACAUUGUUCAAUAGUGAAAUUCGGUUUUGCUGUCACUUCUCGCUGGAUCCGCGCCGCAUUAGCUAGUUGGUAGGGUAACGGCUUACCAAGGCAACGAUGCGUAGCCGACGUGAGAGGGGGGUCGGCCACACGGGAACGGAGACACGGUCCAUACGCCUACGGGAGGCAGCAGUAGGGAAUCUUCCGCAAUGGGCGAAAGCCUGACGGAGCAACGCGGCGUGAGUGAUGAAGGUCUUCGGAUCGUAAAACUCUGUUAUGAGGUAAGAACAAAUGUGGAAGUAGCUAUGCACGGCGUGACGGUACCUAAUCAGAAAGCAACGGCUAACUACGUG